rnacentral:lncRNA from 1 species
AAUUUUUGUUGAUUGAAGUGUUGUAAAUUGCUCUAUGAUGCAAUAGUCUUUAACAUUUUCAAUAAAAUGUGUGCAAUCUUCAAUGCUUCUGAUAAACAAACAAAUAUCAAUAAUUACUAUGCAUUUAUCUGAGACACAAGAUUUAUGCUUUUUGAUGAUCAGUGCAUUUCCCAUUUCAUUAAAAUUAAUAAACUACGGUGAAAUUUCUUUUGCAUAUUUUUAUCUUUCCUUUUGUUGUUUGUAUAUUAAUAGCUUCUGGAAAAGUUAUUGCCAAUUAUUCUGUUAUUUCUAAUUGACAUAACAAUGAUUUAUUCCUUCAAAUUAUACUAUGAGAAAUUUGUUCUGGCAUCAAUUAUGACAUGAAUCCGAUUUUUAAAAUAAAAAAUUUUACAUCUUAGAAUUGAAAAAAUGUAGCAACCACUUACUUUUUAUUUUACAUGUUAAAAGUGAAUUGCUAUUAUGAUAAAAAUAGUAUAUACUGUAUUAUACAAUACUAGCUAUUUCAGAUCACAACACAUUGUAACAAUUUCAGAAUGGCAGAUGUAGAUAUUUUAAGGGCAUCGAUAUAUUAUAGCAGAAAUGGAUAGAAAAAUUGAUUUUACAUUAUUGCAAAAAUAUGUUAAGGAAAUGUACAUUAAAUGAGGGUAUACCUGUAUUAAUGUAAAAUUAUAAUUCUUACUGUUAAAUAAUAACAAGUACAGGUACUCCUCUAUUUAUGAAUAUUUUUACAUAUAAAUGUGAAAUUUCAUUUUCAAAUUUCAGAAAAUUUUAAGCUCUUCAAGAAUUUUAAACAUCAUGAUAACAGAAUACCUAGCAACCAAUAUCAAUGCAUCAUGUCAAUAUCAAUACAUAAAAUUACACAGUUAAUAUAUUACAGCAAUAUUUCAAGAUGGCAGUGAUUACACCAAAAAAUCUCUCAUUUUAUAAUUGGAACUUU